GGCGCGGCUGUAUUUCACCAUCGUGCUACGUGCUCCGAGUGGAGGGAGAUGGCCCCUUCCUCCCUGCAAGGCGAGCAGAAGCCUUUGUUGGAAGAGGCUGCAGCGUGCUCUGCAGAGAAAUCCGCAGACAAUAAGAGCCAGAAGCUCUUGGACGCUCUCCAACUCAGCUCUAUGGCUUUGCACGAGGCUGCAGAAGAGCAGAGCAGUGCCAUGCGUGGGGAAAUGUUCUUUCCGCCUCACACCACGGGCUUUGGGCUGAUACCCAGUGUCUGGGAGGACGUGGUGACGGAUCUCCUUCCUAAUCCACUGUAGCAUUAAUGGCCAUUUCCUCUUGUCGCUGCUACCUGGGAGAAGAGGCUGACUCCCACUUUGCUACACUCUCCUUUCAGGGAGUUGUAGAGAGCAGUGAGGUCUCCCUGGGCCUCCUCUUCUCCAGACUGAGCAAUCCCAGCCAGAAAAGUUUGUCUUGGAAGAGCGAGAAGCAGGUGGACAAAAGCAACCAGUCGAUAAAUGGACUGGUUAUUGACCCACACCACUGCUUAUCGACUCUCAUCACUGUCCUCUGUGUUCCCCCAUGCGCUGGUUCCUCGGUACAGGACUGCCUUCAUUCCAGCAGAAGCUAUCAGUCUGUGACGUUGUUUAUAACAGGGAGGAAAAGUCAACACCAGAAAUCUUUCCUUUACCGUGUAACCUUUGAGAUUUAUCACGGUGUUGUUUCUCCGAGGGCUGACAGUAAGGUGACAGGAGGAGCUGUCUCAUGGCUUCUUUUUUGUUUAUUGGCUCCCGGUGUAUGAGAAAGAGCUAUAAAUAAUACUCCCCGAUGCGGACGGGUGCAAUUGUUAAAGGCACUUAACCUGCUGGCUGCAGCUGUCUUCCAAGGCAGUGUUCUCCCUCCCUGGUCACUCCAGGGGCAGCGGUGCUGCCGGAGGAGAGGCGGCAGAAGUUUGGAGCGUGUUGGUUGUGUACUUGGUGAACUUCUGCCGUGGAGAGAUGCCAAGGUCAGAGCAUGAUUGAAGAACCUCCUUCCUCUCCUGAAGUCGCUGUUACUGUAUGAUAUUGUUUUCCACCGUAGAAGGUUCUCUUAAAAAUGAGGUUGAGAUCCCUAAAGAAAUUGCUUCAAUCAGCAACAGUGCUUAAUGACUGUUAAUGGGAAGUGGAGAUAGGAUAGUAAGUGUUACUUUGAUUAAUAAGAGAACUGCAGAGAAUUUAAAUUGUGCCACUGAUGGAUUAUUUUCUUCAAGCUUGAUAAGCGCUUCUCAUUUGUUCUUAAAUUUGGUCAAUACUGUUAAAGACAGCAAAAUGAAGUAUAAUUAAUUCUAUUACUGCUACUCCGACCCAGUGCUACUGGGAAACAGAUUACAAUGCAGACAACAAUGUUAGGUAACACUUCUGAUGGUUUUAUCAUACGCGGACUGGUCAGGGAUGCAAGGCAGAGAACCUCAGAACCACGCUGAGGAGCUGCCCAGCUCGCUGCCUGCCCUGGCACGUGCCCAUCUCUUUGAAUCUACCACGGACAUGAUUUCAGUGAAGGAAAUAGCUGAUUGUGAGGCACGUAGGCAAAACAGAGAGCUCCACUUUGUUCCUCCCUUCGUGUACGCAUAAGUUAUCACGGUGCUUUUGAACAGACCUAUCUGAGUUAUGCAAUAAAUAGGGAAAAUAUGCUGAGAAAUGCAGUUUGCUCAGGGGCCCUCUUGCCACUUCUGAAGUCAGAUUUUAGGAAAAGGCUCUCAGCAGCUCACCCAUUCUGCUGCCUCGGAAUGGAUCCAGGCUAUGCGCAAAGGAGUUGGGAAGCUCUUCUGGGCUCUCAUUAGAGGUGGCUGCAAUUAGCACUUAAUUUUCCAGACUCUGCCUACUUCAAAGUCUAUGCUUCUCCAAUUCUGACUGCAGAAAGUCAUUGUGUGAGUGAUGUCGAAUUAAUUUGAAAUCAGAGUGUGUUGGCUAAUAGUAUAGCUAUAAAAUCAAUGAAGGUCUAAUUCUGUUAUUAAAAAUGUAAAGCUUAUGUAUUAUGAAUAAAGAGUUCAUGCUCUUCCACGGAUAUUCCAUAAACAUAAUUUCUGAAAGUACUGGGAACACAUAAAAUGUAUUUCAGGCAUGAAUUUGUGUGCAAUGGUCUGAUGGAGAGCAAGGAUACAUUAAAAGACUCUCAGGUUGAAAGGUCAUG
ensembl:lncRNA